rnacentral:tRNA from 1 species
GGGCAGCUAGCUCAGUUGGUUAGAGCGCCACGUUCACACCGUGGAGGUCACAGGUUCGAGUCCUGUGCUGCCCA